AGAUUGUAGUUUUUGUUUUGGCCGGAAAGGCUUACCAUGAGUUGCCAGGGCUGAGAGAGAUGGAGAAGGAUUCGCGGCGGUGACAGAUUAAAUUCCCCAGUUACAUUAUAGACUUGGAGACUUGUCCUUGUGUGGACGGGAGCCGGAAAGCCUUGAGAACUUAUUCCUCGACCCGGACAUGGCACAGGAGAAAAUGAAACUAGGUUUCAAGUCGCUGCCGAGUUCCACUACCGCAGACGGCAACAUUCUGAGAAGAGUCAACAGUGCCCCUUUGAUCAAUGGACUUGGUUUUAAUUCACAGGUGUUGCAAGCUGACAUGUUAAGAAUUAGGACAAACAGAACAACAUUUAGGAAUCGACGCUCUCUGUUGUUGCCACCUCCUCCCUUUCAUGGUUCCAUCAGCCGCCUUCAUCAAAUCAAACAGUCUCCCUCUGAUGCCGAGCGGAAGCUGGACUGUACUGCUGCCAUCUCGGCUCACUGCAACCUCCCUGCCUGAUUCUCCUGCCUCAGCCUGCCGAGUGCCUGCGAUUGCAGGCGCGCGCAGCCACACCUGACUGGUUUUCGUAUUUUUUUGGUGGAGACGGGGUUUCGCUGUGUUGGCCGGGCUGGUCUCCAGCUCCUAACCGCAAGUGAUCUGCCAGCCUCGGCCUCCCGAGGUGCCGGGAUUGCAGACGGAGUCUGGUUCACUCAGUGCUCAAUGGUGCCCAGGCUGGAGUGCAGUGGCGUGAUCUCGGCUCGCUACAACCUCCACCUCCCAGCCGCCUGCCUUGGCCUCCCAAAGUGCCGAGAUUGCAGCCUCUGCCCGGCCGCCACCCCGUCUGGGAAGUGAGGAGCAUCUCUGCCUGGCCGCCCAUCGUCUGGGAGGUGAGGAGCCCCUCUGCCUGGCUGCCCAGUCUGGAAAGUGAGGAGCGUCUCUGCCCGGCCGCCAUCCCAUCUAGGAAGUGAGGAGCGCCUCUUCCCGGCCGCCAUCCCAUCUAGGAAGUGAGGAGCGUCUCUGCCCCGCUGCCCCGUCUGGGAUGUGAGGAGCGCCUCUGCCCGGCCGCGACCCCGUCUGGGAGGUGAGGAGCAUCUCUGCCCGGCCGCCCCGUCUGAGAAGUGAGGAGACCCUCCGCCUGGCAACCGCCCCGUCUGAGAAGUGAGGAGCCCCUCCGCCCAGCAGCCGCCCCGUCUGAGAAGAAGAAGCCAUGGAUUUAAUAAAUAGAGAAACAAUGUCUGAAUGGAAGCUACAAAGUGAGAUACAGAUAAGUCACUCUUGGGAAGAAGGCUUGAAACUGAAUGACAAUGGCUUACAGAAAUCAUCCUCUCUAAAGUGCAUUGAUUUAACUCCAGUAUCCUCAAUGGCUUCUUCCAUCAAGAAGACUGGGAAGAAGAAGUCAAAAUCCUACCAACAUUAUUAGACCAAGUAUCCUUGGACCAUUAAAAAGAAAAGGUGAAAUGGCAUUUCAAUAUCAACCAAAAAAGAUUUUCCAAGGCACAACCAACAUGCUUUCUUCUGAUACUUCCCAACUGUCAGAAAAUAAUGUGUAUCUACUUCCAGCUACUUUUGAUGGAAACGACAGCAAUGCUGGAUCUUCUGGUAAUUCGUCAGCUGAAAUCGGCACUGUCACAAACUCUCCUGU
rnacentral:lncRNA from 1 species